GAUGAACGCUGACAGAAUGCUUAACACAUGCAAGUCGAUGGGGAAGUGGUGCUUGCACCAUGGUAACCAUGGCGGACGGGUGAGUAACGCGUAAGGAACUUACCUGCGGGACCGGGAUAACAGCAGGAAACUGCUGACAAGACCGGAUAAGGUCAUUAAGCUGCAUAGCUUAGUGAUGAAAGGAGACGCCUGCGGAGAGCCUUGCGUCCUAUUAGCUAGUUGGAGGGGUAACGGCCCACCAAGGCGAAGAUAGGUAGCCGGCCUGAGGGGAUGGACGGCCACAAGGGGACUGAGAUACGGCCCUUACUCCUACGGGAGGCAGCAGUGGGGAAUAUUGGACAAUGGGGGCAACCCUGAUCCAGCAAUUCUGUGUGCACGAAGACGGUUUUCGGAUUGUAAAGUGCUUUCAGCAGGGAAGAAGGAAGUGACGGUACCUGCAGAAGAAGCGACGGCUAAAUACGUG
rnacentral:rRNA from 1 species